UCGAGAAUCUUCGGCAAUGGGCGCAAGCCUGACCGAGCGACGCCGCGUGCGGGAUGAAGGCCCUUGGGUUGUAAACCGCUGUCAGAGGGGAUGAAAUGCUGGUGGGUUAUCCCUCCAGUUUGACAGAGCCUCAGAGGAAGCACGGGCUAAGUACGUGCCAGCAGCCGCGGUAACACGUACUGUGCGAACGUUAUUCGGAAUCACUGGGCUUAAAGGGUGCGUAGGCGGCUAACUAAGUAGGGUGUGAAAUGCCUCGACUCAACCGAGGAACUGCGCUCUAAACUGGUUGGCUUGAGUGAGAUAGGGGUGUGCGGAACUUCCAGUGGAGCGGUGAAAUGUGUUGAUAUUGGAAGGAACGCCGGUGGCGAAAGCGGCACACUGGGUCUCAACUGACGCUGAGGCACGAAAGCCAGGGUAGCGAACGGGAUUAGAUACCCCUGUAGUCC
rnacentral:rRNA from 1 species